GAAAUAUUGGUUCUCAUCUGAUCACUGAAGUUAAGCAACAUUGAGCAUGGUCACUACCUAGAUCAGUGAUUGAUUGGGAAUACCAGGUGCUGUAAGC